ACCGGUGUUCACGCCACCCUCACCGCCUCCUCCCCCACCUUACCUAUUCCCACCCUUUCCUCCCUUUACUCCUAUUCCGCCCUUGUUUUCGCCACCGCCUUCUCCUCCUUCACCUCCUCCAUCAUUCCCCUGCCCGUUCCCACCCUUCCCUCCCUUUACCCCAACUCCACCUGUAGUUACACCACGUCCACCGCCACCUCCAUCAUUCCCCUUCCCACCCUUCCCUCCAUUUACCCCCACUCCACCUGUAGUUACCCCACCUCCACCGCCGCCUCCAUCNNNNNNNNNNNNNNNNNNNNGCACCGCCGCCUCCAUCAUUCUCCUUCCCACCCUUCCCUCCCUUUACUCCCACUCCACCUGUAGUUACCCCACCUCCACCGCCGCCUCCAUCAUUCCCCUUCCCGUUCCCACCCUUCCCUCCGUCUCCUCCCAAUCCACCUGUAGUUACACCGCCGCCUCCAUCGACCCCUUUCCCGUUCCCGCCUUUCCCUCCCUUUACUCCAACUCCAC
rnacentral:lncRNA from 1 species